rnacentral:sRNA from 1 species
CUUUAGUCCCGAUCGUAGUGGCAUCCUUUGUGUAUGCGGUAGCCUACACAAAGAUAUAGCGGAGAGCGGGAACCAUU